CGGGAAGCCAGGCGGCGACGCCGAGCGGAACCCGAAAAGCCGUCUCAGUUCGGAUUGGAGUCUGCAACCCGACUCCAUGAAGCUGGAUUCGCUAGUAAUCGCGCAUCAGCCACGGCGCGGUGAAUACGUUCCCGGGCCUUGUACACACCGCCCGUCAAGCCAUGGAAGCCGGGAGUGCCUGAAGUGCGUGAGCGCAAGCAGCGCCCUAAGGUAAAACCGGUGACUGGGGCUAAGUCGUAACAAGGUACC
rnacentral:rRNA from 1 species